CGAAAAACAAAAAGAAAAAGAAAAAGAAAAAGAAAAAAAAAGAAGAAGAAUUUCCAGAAGAUUCGUGUUUUAGAUCACUCUUCAUACAACAAUGCGUAGUUUAUCUGGGUCCCCUACGCUGGCAUGGACAAGCCUCGUGCUGUAGGAAUACCCCAGACCGGCUUUAGGCAGAGGUCAGAUGCCUCAGAGCGCCACUUCACUGGCAAACCCACGGCUUCCGCGUAUUUCCCAGCAACCUCGGGCCAGGCUUCUGUGAGGACGGUGACGUUUGCGUGGCAAUCCUAUAAGGUCUGGGCACACAACAGUUGUCACUCCUGACCCUCCCGCUGGGAAAGACAGUGCUGGCAGAAACCUCCUGUCCAGCUGGCUGAGGAGCCACCCAAAUGUCCAGGAAGGAGGACCAGCUGGUUGGCUGUACCGGGACCAGAAUGAUGAGCCCCACAACCUGACCUUGUCACCACCGUACACUCUCAUCAGGAGCCUGCAGUUUAUUGAGUGAGAAGGAAGGGAUGGAAGCACACCAAGUAUCACACAGAAUCACAUACCCUACAUGACCUUUCUCAACAUGAAAAAUUUGCCAUGGACACAAAUGAAGAAUUGUUCUCUAGGCCUUCUGUCCCUUCUUGUGUCAUUAAGAAAUUCAAGCUCGGGCUGGUGAGAUGGCUCAGUGGGUUAGAGCACCCGACUGCUCUUCCGAAGGUCC
rnacentral:lncRNA from 1 species